CAGGAUGGUACGCAGCCAUUAUGCACAGAGCAAGCAGGCUGGCCGAGUCGCACGUUCAUUUUCCCGUUGCCACCAGUUGUGUUGCCCCAAGCAUUCUGUAGCUGGCCGUUGUGCGUUUGUGUUACAAAACGCUGUGGUGCGUUGUGUUCUAAAGGUUGUGUUACUUACAAAACAGUGUUUAAUUGUAAUGAAAGAAAAGCAGAGAUGACUAUUUAAAUCUCCUCUAGAUUAAACAUAUAACCGCAGCAGUUCCAGUGUUAUUGUACCAGCGACCAGUGUGAAUGGGAAAAAUGGAGCAUCAAUGAAAGCAACUUAUUGCGCCUAAAAUGUUAAACUGGAGUAUUGAGACGCCACGCAAGGUCAAGUCGAGCUACAAGGGACAGCGGACAUGGUAGAGAACGCCAUGACACGGGACAGCGAAAUACCGGCCAUCUUCAACCCGAAACGCGUUCGUGCUCCCUCGGUUGUGGUGACAGGAGACUCCCCAAAUGGACCCUUUGGAGGUUUCACGAACAACGUGCCACAGAUUACACACUCGGAUUCGGUGACCUCGAGCCAGCACGAUGGUCAGGACAGUCUGAUCGGCAUCACGGUGACCGGUGGAAUGCACGGCGGCUGCGAUACACCGACCUCACAGCCACACGCACUCCUCGGCAGCGGCGGCGGUGGCCUUGGAGCGGGCCCCGGUGGUGGUGGCCCUGGUUCCGCGAACCCGGCACCCUCGAGCCCGCCAUCCACCUCGCGACUAAAGGCAUGCCGAGCGUCGUGUUGCUCGGAGUUGGCGCAGAAGAUGUACUUCGGUGUGUGCGUAACGGUGCUUGUGACGGCUUCGUGGGUCGGUGCCACUCACUGCAUCAAGUUCCUGUACCUGCGCCGAAACACCUACGCUUCCACAUUACCUCCACACCUAACCGCGUUCAUCACCGACGGAACGACUGACACGGUGCCGGGUGGAGCAGCGCCGGACCAAAACUCCACCUCGGCCAUGAUAGUGCACGGGUUUGGGCCAACGUCUUCGUUUCUGCCCUCCACGGCCAAACCGAUCGUCACAUCGGAUCGCGUCGUACCGCCGGUUACGUCGCACGUCUUCAAUGCGCCCUUCUUUGCCUCGUGGUUCUGCACCAACUUCGCAAUACUGUUCUUCCCGAUCUACAUACUCGGGCGGGUUGCGAUUAAGAAGUGCGACGGAACCGGCGAAGUGCUGGGUGAAAUUCUGCGCGGCUUCCGUGACCGGGGCUUUACGAUUGGGCGCUUCCUGAACCGCUGUCUUACGUUCUGCAUCCUGUGGCUGCUCACCACCUAUCUGUACGCGCUGUCGCUCAAGGCCCUGCUGGCCACGGACGUUAUGGCACUGUUCGCAACGAACGUCGCCUGCGUGUACCUGUUGGCAUGGGUAAUACUGCAGGAACAGUUUGUCGGCGUGCGGAUUGUUGCUGUGAUACUUUGUGAUACGGGUAUUGCGCUGCUGGCCUACAUGGACGGAAUUACGGGUAGCCCGACGCUGGGCGGGGUGGUGCUGGCAGCACUGGCCGCUGCUGGCUAUGCCGUCUUCAAAGUGAUGUUUCGCAAGGUGAUGGGCGAUCCGCCCGUCGGUCAGAUUGCGUUCACGUUCUCGAUCAUCGGCUUUCUGAACGCAGCUAUCCUGUGGCCGGUCUGCAUAGCACUCUACUUUACCGGUGCCGAAAUUAUGCCCUGGGAAACCCUUCCCUGGGUGGUUCUGCUGAUGGCCAGCGUCUUACUGCUAGUGUUCCACAUCCUCACACAGUUCAGCAGCGCCGUUACGUACAACAUGUUUGUCACCCUGGGACUCAUAACGGCCGUACCCGUUUCGGCUGCGCUCGACAUCGUGCUGUACGGGGCCCACUUUGCCGGUAUGAAGCUGGCCGGUAUCAUAUUGAUAGCAGUCGGUUUCUUUCUCGUAAUGUUUCCGGACAAUUGGCCCGAUUACAUCACCCGUUUGCUGCGAAAUAUCAUCUUGUUGGGUCACAACGCGAGUCGGCCAGCCUUUUGUAGAAGGGACAUUGUCGUUGCCUCACCCACCUCUACUGUCCGAUAGAAAGAACAUCUGCACAACUCACACCCCACGUGUGUUGUACCUCUGUAUGUAUCUCUCGCGUUGCCGAAUGUAGUUCUAGCUCUUCCUCCAAAAAGCAAAACAAAACACACUGACUUGCCAAACGAAACUGACCACCCUCGACUGCUAGAACUCCCUCGUAUCCGAAGGAAGGCUCGCUGUGUUUUUGAAGGGCGUACGCGUAAGAUUAAUGCUGGAAGGCACACACAGCACGUUAUUUUCCUCUGCAAAGAUUCUUGUACUGCACCUCUAUUAACUGAUCCAGUUCUGUUGCAAGUUUGAUGGUACUAAGCCAACACACCCUCUGUCCUCAAAACUCGUUUGGCGAACGCAACAAACAAACACGAUUUACACUGUUCAAUCCAAACACUUGCGCCUGUUACACAUAUGCCUGGAUUGCAUUAGACCCCCGACAACAGUAAAGAUGGGGUCGUCAUCCUCGAAGCGGAACUCCAUCGCAGCAUCGCGACGUCAUCGACUAUCGGACGGGCUACAUUCGAUCGCAUCUUCGCUCUCCCUCUGGCCGGGUGAGAUGACCGACCUGCAGCAACAGCAACAGCAUUUGCAGCAUCAGCAGAGCCUCCAACACUUUCAGCACAUUCUGCGCAACGAUAGCAGCAGCGAUUUCGUUGGUCUAAACCCGCACGCCAAGCUGCGCCACUACUCGCUCACGGAAAUGACGACCAACUUCAUCCGGAAGCCAGGAUCGAUCAGGCUUAGCCCAGGGCUGGGUACCGGCAGUGGCCCGAACUCUCUGUCGGCCACAUCCAGCCAUCGCUAUCCGUCGAUGAACGGGCGUAGCAGCUCCUAUGGUUCGUUGGAGUAGCGUUAUUCAGAUAAUACGAUAGUUUAGCUACCGUUUAAGGACAAUCUUCAAACCAGCUGCGAUACUCCACAUUUUCUAUGUUGAUGUGCAAGUUAAAAGCGAAGGCGUUUCGUUAAACGUAGGAAUUUAGCUCCAUUUCUUGCCUUGUUUUAGGCUCGCUCACCCAAGGGUUCGUACUACCUCCGUAGUACGUAGCAUUCCUGUAGUAUUCUUUCAAUUACCAAACACUCCACAUCACCAUCUCACCCCGAUAACGUAUGGCGCGCCACGGGGUUUCGAUGCAAUAAGAAACUACAAACACUGAAGCAAGCACAUAUUCUUUACCAACAAUGUACAGAGCUUAUUUGCUGUUUUCAAAAGCCGUUUUACCGUAUAUAAAAGUGUAAGCAGAUGAUUUGAUAUUAGUCAGUCAUUCAUCUUAAUGAUAGUACUCCUCCCGGAACACUUACAAAUAGUCCUACGAAAGCUAGCAUAGUUGGUACACACGUUUUUACAGUAUAUCUGUUUGGUAGGUUAACCAUUUCUAAAACAAAACCCCUCUUCGGAUUCGAUGUUGCCGGUGAUAGAAACGAUUUGUUAAUAGUGCACCUAGAUUAAGUAAAAACUGACUUUCGUUCCGGUUUUGAGUCUUUUUUAGUACCCUCACGAAUGGUUAGUAUGAAUGUUAUCGAAAACAACGUGUUUUAUGCUGGUUAAACACACACUUCUGGUGGAAUUCGUUAAACAGAGUAGUGUUUGCAGCACCGCAAACGAACACUCUAGGAAAGAGCAAACAUGGCAAUCGACUAAUAGAUUAAGCAGUACAGUAAAGAUUCCAUCGAAGUUAUCACAUAAUUGACCAUUCCAAACGUAUUUACAAAAUAAAACGAGCGUAAACAACGAAUCCAUUUCGGUAAAAUGCAGUUAAAAUUGUGCACAUUGUCAUGCAAUACGAUACGAUAGUUGGAAAAAUUUUGAAACCCCAAAUCAAAUAUCAGUAACAAAGAUUGCUAUUCUUCCACAACAAAUGUAA